GCCAGUGUGGUGAAAUGGUAGACACGACGGAUUCAAAAUCCGUUGGCAGCGAUGUCGUGGCGGUUCGAGUCCGCCCACUGGUA
rnacentral:tRNA from 1 species